GGAAAUUCUGGGCAGUAGUAACUCCUUGAAACUUCAUGUUCUUUUUUUUCUUUUUUAAAUUUGACCAAGAAAAACUGUCUCAUGUAAGAUUAGUUGAUUUGGGUUGGUGCCUUAGCAAACCACAGAUUUAUGUUGCAUAUACAUUGUUGAUUCCUUGUUUUUGCCGUGUUUAAUAAGCAAGUAAACACGAUAAAUAUAUAUACCCGAGAACUUGUUGAUAUUUAGGCUUUUUAUGCAUACCUACC
rnacentral:lncRNA from 1 species